GUUUUUUUUUUUUUUUUUUUUUUGCCUUUUUCUUCUUCUUGUCUGCUGUGCUUGAAGACG
rnacentral:ribozyme from 13 species